rnacentral:rRNA from 1 species
AGAGUUUGAUCCUGGCUCAGGAUGAACGCUGGCGGCGUGCCUAAUACAUGCAAGUCGAACGCACAGCGAAAGGUGCUUGCACCUUUCAAGUGAGUGGCGAACGGGUGAGUAACACGUGGACAACCUGCCUCAAGGCUGGGGAUAACAUUUGGAAACAGAUGCUAAUACCGAAUAAAACUCAGUGUCGCAUGACACAAAGUUAAAAGGCGCUUUGGCGUCACCUAGAGAUGGAUCCGCGGUGCAUUAGUUAGUUGGUGGGGUAAAGGCCUACCAAGACAAUGAUGCAUAGCCGAGUUGAGAGACUGAUCGGCCACAUUGGGACUGAGACACGGCCCAAACUCCUACGGGAGGCUGCAGUAGGGAAUCUUCCACAAUGGGCGAAAGCCUGAUGGAGCAACGCCGCGUGUGUGAUGAAGGCUUUCGGGUCGUAAAGCACUGUUGUAUGGGAAGAACAGCUAGAAUAGGGAAUGAUUUUAGUUUGACGGUACCAUACCAGAAAGGGACGGCUAAAUACGUGCCAGCAGCCGCGGUAAUACGUAUGUCCCGAGCGUUAUCCGGAUUUAUUGGGCGUAAAGCGAGCG